CCCUUAACCUUAGCCUUUUCCAGGUGCUUGCUCACUUCAGAGAACUCAACCCUCCUUCUCCACAUCAUCCUGAUCUAAUUCCUUGACAUGCUUUAUUUCUCAUAUUAUUGGGUAUGGAUAUUAAGGAGGGGAAGAGCCAUUCUUGGGCAGUCUUAUAAAAUGAGUGUUCAACUAUCCUUGGGUAAAGUAGUGAAAAGAUUCUAAUGAGGCCAAAUGAAAUCUCUAGCUUUGGAAGGAGGAAGUGCUGAAUGACUUCCCCUAUGUCAGAAGAGAGACUCCUUGAAAGGAAACCUCAGCUUCUGGUCAGUUCAUGGAGAACUAAUUAGCAAGGAGGCAAAGACUGUGCCCCAUGACAUCAGCAGACCCUUUGCUGGGCAUUCUAUUGUAUCCUGGACAGCACUUGGAAUCCCCAAUGAUGUCACUACUGUUGUAGCAAUGCCAACAUCCUUUAGGACAUUUGUUCAGUGACCACAAGCUUGGCCUCUGGACAUGUUAUCCAGACUCAGAGUUCUAUUUGGGAGAGGGAAUGGACAGCAUGGGGAGACCAGAGUAGGCCGAAGGAAGCUGGUUCUAGAUCUCCCUGGAAAACAUGAAGGAAUAAGUGGACAUGAGGAAGACUCAGUGAGUUCUGGGAAUGGGCUGGGGAGUUUUCUGGAUGUUUUUAGGCUUGAGCCUUCCAGGGCUAGGACUCAGGAACUGGGAGUUUCUGGGAAGCAAUAGGCCUAUUCUGCUUCUCUGGGUUCCUAAAGAGCAGACCCAGAUCAAGGAUCCACGAUGAUGAGUUUGGCAGAGUCAGGAAUUGACAAGGCUGAAGCUGCUUUGCUGGGUAUCCUGUGCUUUCACCCUGAGUGGGAAAGGAGGCACAGAGGAACUAAAGAGAUUUCUGUACCAUAACUGUGUUUCACAUUCACUGAAGUCCUUUAGUUGUGUGCCAGUAAUUAUAGGGAAAGUAGAGUACCCUGGCAAAACCGUAGGAUCUCAUACUUUACAUUAUAACCACUAGCAGGGCAGGAUGCACCAAGUGCUACUGUCUUCCAGGGAAUUCCUAAAUUUUUGAGUUCUCUGCUGUGGGAGGUACACAGAUCAGUUCAGCCUGAGAACUGUUAGAUUCAGUGGACCUGGACUGAGACUGUCCCUUCCUGGUAGCUCUGAAUGUCCUGCCAUCUCAGGGAGGAUGGUUUUGUGAAUCUGGUGACUAUGUUCUGCCCUUGUAUGGCUUUUCCAUUAACAUGAGACUCUGAAGCAUAGAGCAAGUGACUUUGGCAUCCCUAUAAUGCCUGAGUGCUUGUGGACAGUAGCAAUUUUCUCCAGGCUCUGAAAGAACAUGGCUGAAGGACCUGAAGCCAAUGAACAUCCUCUGCAACUGGACUACAGAGGAGGCACCAUCCCAACUCUCCACCUUCACUGAGCAGGAACAGGAGGUGAAAAAAAUAGAGAAACUCACCCUCUGGCUAAAUAAUAUGACCUGUGAAAGAAAUGAACUGUGUGAAAUCCUCCCAAUUACACCAACAAGGAUUUGAAAAACAGGCUGAAUUUUGAGCUUGAAAUGCUUAAAAUGGCACAUAAGAAGGUGAAUGUCUGACCUGCAGAAAUUGCCCAUAGAGAUCAUUGAUGCCUUGGACAAGUGCACGGGGCUGAUUGAGGAGACUGAAUCCUUCAGGUAAGUGCCUGAUUUAUCAUGAGAGGAAUUGUCUAUGCCCUUCUUUGUCUUUGAUACAAAGUGAGGGCUUUGGACUCAGUUUUGUUAAGUGUGGAAAAACACUGUGGCCCUCCCAUCAUUGUCCUGCCAGCCUUAGGAGCCCUUAGACGGAAAAAUGGUUUGUACCAUGAAGGGGAUGUCUGGCAGUCCAGGUCCUCUGGGCACUGGCAGGGGCUUCACAGACCUGGUUUCCAUGGGACCUGUAGAUAGAAUUUAUUCCUGUUGGGACUUCUUCCCUCCUUCGAGAGUUUUUGCCCUCUACCUGCUGCUGCUUUCCCAAAACAAUGAACAGUUAAGGACAGGUGUGGACUGCACCCUGUUCUCAGAGGCACAGGUUCCCUUUUGGCAUCAGGGUUUUCAGAAGUAGUUUGAUUCUCUCUGAAAUUUGGUUAUUCUCUGUAUUUGGCCUGCCUCUGAGUGAUGCUGACUUGGCUACUGAGAGCUCCAUUCUUGGGCUGUCUGCGGUCUGGGACUUUUUAGCGCUGGUGGUACUUGGAGGUAGAAAUGGCAAAUGGAGGCUGUCUGGGACUCACCAUGUUUUGGCAGUUGUUCAGUUACCUCCACGGCCAGGUCCUCUGAGAUUGGACUCAGCUGAAGGAGAAUGUACAUGUGUUGAGACUGAAGAACAGACUGCUAUGGAAGGAGCAGAUUGAAAUGCUAGAGUCCUGUUAGGAUCUGAAGAGGCUCUUGAAGGAGGUCCAUGAGAUGAUCUGUGACCCUUCUGCUGAGCAGCAGCAGGAGCAAGAGAGCUUGGAUGAAAGACUAAAGGACCUGUUGAAGCAGAAGGAGCUGGUCACCCAUCAAAAGGACAUGGCAGAAAAACUGCAACAUCAUUCAACGUCUCUGAGAUAAGGUAGGAGCACAAGCUUGGUGGAGCAGUUAGAACCAUGUAGGUCACCUGUACCUGGAUCUCUGUCGUUUGGGGGGAUUAUUCCAAUCUGGAUGGCUCUCAGCCAGAGCCAGGGAAAGAACACCUCAGGGUAUUGUGCUGGCCCAGUCAACAAGAACUUCUCCAGGAAA